GAAGGAGUGGUGGGAAGAUGGAGAGGGCGAAGGAAAAUGACGCUGCUAUAGGAAUUAGAGUAUCAUGAGAGAAAAGUGAGAACGCAUACGAGAGUUGCAAGCAUUGAAGAGUGAUCGGUCAUGCACACUGAUCAACGCAACAUUUGAAUUGUGGAUUUAACCCGGUAAAUUCAUCAAAAUUAUUUUUUGGGAUGUUAUUGGUAAGCAUCAUUCUUAAGGAAUGUAUGUAUACUCUGUAACAUGAAUAGGAUAAAGACACCGAUUGGUAUAGGCCUGUGCCUGAAUAUGAUUAGGAAUACAAAGUCGACAUUGUUGUUCUGUCUCAUUAUUAGUACUCUUGGAAUAACGUUCUUUUCUACGAAGCAAACGCCUGCUGCAUUUCGACACAGUGAUUUUCCUUCCCUACGUAAGUAUAUAGCCUACUCAAACAUUUUUUUUCACACAUAGAGGUGAUUGGGAGAAGUAUGUGCUGGUGGACACGUAUUUGCGUAUUAUCACCCAAUUUCCUCUUAAUAAAAGAUGUGUAUGAACAAAGUUUAUUAUUACGCACAAUUUGAGAACUCUCGGUAUUGGUUCCAAAAUUAUAAUGCCAUAAAAAAAGA